rnacentral:lncRNA from 1 species
AACCAAUGAGCAUGCCCUUCUGAGCUCUAAACCCCCAUUCUAAACUUGGGACAAGCAACUAGUCUCCCCUUCUGAACUAGCGAACAUUCCUCUUUCAACGAGACGAUACAAUGAUGCAUGUCAAUACAAAUCAAUACAAUAACAAUAACAAUAACAAUAACAAUAACAAUUCUUACAACCCUCUUCUGACCAUAAACACCAUGCAUUGACACACAAUAGUAAUUUCCCCUUCUGAACUACUAUCCAACAAUCAUAACAACAAUGCACACAAGCAUACAAAUAAUUUCCCUUAUGAACUAUU